AGGAUGAACGCUGGCGGCGUGCCUAACACAUGCAAGUCGAACGUCCUGUCUCGCAAGAGGCAGGGAGUGGCGGACGGGUGAGUACCACGUGGGUCAUCUACCGUGAGGUGAGGAAUACCGGCGAGAAAUCGCCGACAAGACCGCAUAGGCUCGAUGCAAGUCGAGCAAAGCUCUUUCGAGAGAGGGAGCGCCACACGAGGAGCCUGCGCCCGAUUAGCUAGCUGGUGGAGUAACGGUUCACCAGGGCGACGAUCGGUAGCUGGUCUGAGAGGACGAUCAGCCACACUGGGAUUGAGAACGGCCCAGACUCCUACGGGGGGCAGCAGUGAGGAAUUUUCCGCAAUGGAGGCAACUCUGACGGAGCAACGCCGCGUGCAGGAUGAAGGUUUUCGGAUCGUAAACUGCUUUUCUCGGGGACGAGCAAGGACGGUACCCGAGGAAGAAGCCCCGGCUAACUACGUGCCAGCAGCCGC
rnacentral:rRNA from 1 species